rnacentral:rRNA from 1 species
UACGUAGGGUGCAAGCGUUGUCCGGAAUCAUUGGGCGUAAAGCGCGUGUAGGCGGUUCGGUAAGUCCGCUGUGAAAGUCGGGGGCUCAACCCUCGAAAGCCGGUGGAUACUGUCGGACUAGAGUACGGAAGAGGCGAGUGGAAUUCCUGGUGUAGCGGUGAAAUGCGCAGAUAUCAGGAGGAACACCAAUUGCGAAGGCAGCUCGCUGGGACGUUACUGACGCUGAGACGCGAAAGCGUGGGGAGCAAACAGG